GACGAACCGUCCGAACGUUAUUCGGAAUCACUGGGCUUAAAGGGUGCGUAGGCGGCGCGGAAAGUUGGGUGUGAAAUCCCUCGGCUCAACCGAGGAACUGCGCCCAAAACUGCCGUGCUCGAGGGAGAUAGAGGUGAGCGGAACUUAGGGUGGAGCGGUGAAAUGCGUUGAUAUCCUAAGGAACACCGGUGGCGAAGGCGGCUCACUGGCCCGUAACUGACGCUCAGGCGCGAUAGCGUGGGGAUCAAACAGG
rnacentral:rRNA from 1 species